rnacentral:tRNA from 1 species
UGGGAUGUAGCCAAGUGGAAAGGCAGUGGAUUUUGAUUCCAUUACCAAAGGUUCAAAUCCUUUCAUCCUAG